rnacentral:rRNA from 1 species
CGCCCUUAGAGUUUGAUCCUGGCUCAGGAUGAACGCUGGCGGCGUGCCUAAUACAUGCAAGUCGAACGAGGUGCUUUUGUAGCAAUACGAGAGUAUCCUAGUGGCGAACGGGUGAGUAACGCGUUGGUGACCUACCCCAAAGUGUGGGAUAACAGUCCGAAAGGAUUGCUAAUACCGCAUGUGGUUAUUGGAUUUAGAAACCGGUAACUAAAGGAGCAAUUCGCUUUGGGAGGGACCUGCGUCCCAUCAGCUAGUUGGUGAGGUAAUGGCUCACCAAGGCGACGACGGGUAGGGGACCUGAGAGGGUGGCCCCCCACGAUGGAACUGAAACACGGUCCAUACACCUACGGGUGGCAGCAGUAGGGAAUAUUGCUCAAUGGGCGAAAGCCUGAAGCAGCAACGCCGCGUGUGUGAUGAAGGCCUUCGGGUCGUAAAGCACUUUUCUGGGAGAUGAGAAAGGACAGUAUCCCAGGAAUAAGUCUCGGCUAACUACGUGCCAGCAGCCGCGGUAAAACGUAGGAGGCGAGCGUUAUCCGGAUUCACUGGGCGUAAAGCGCGUGCAGGUGGCGCGGUAAGUUGGGUGUGAAAUCUCCCGGCUCAACUGGGAGAGGUCAUUCAAUACUACCGUGCUUGAGAGCAGAAGAGGAAGAUGGAAUUCCCGGUGUAGUGGUGAAAUGCGUAGAUAUCGGGAGGAACACCAGUGGCGAAGGCGAUCUUCUGGUCUGUUUCUGACACUCAGACGCGACAGCUAGGGUAGUAAACGGGAUUAGAGACCCCGGUAAUCCUAGCCGUAAACGAUGUGAACUUGGCGUUGGUGGGUUAAACUCCAUCAGUGCCGCAGCAAACGCGAUAAGUUCACCGCCUGGGGACUACGGCCGCAAGGUUAAAACUCAAAGGAAUUGACGGA